UGGGGAAUUUUGCGCAAUGGGGGAAACCCUGACGCAGCAACGCCGCGUGAGUGAUGAAGGCCUUCGGGUCGUAAAGCUCUGUCAGAGGGGAAGAAAUGCAGGGGUGCUAAUAUCAUCUUUGCUUGACGGUACCCUCAAAGGAAGCACCGGCUAACUCCGUGCCAGCAGCCGCGGUAAUACGGAGGGUGCGAGCGUUGUUCGGAAUUAUUGGGCGUAAAGCGCGUGUAGGCGGUUUGAUAAGUCUGAUGUGAAAGCCCCGGGCUCAAGCUGGGAAGUGCAUUGGAAGCUGUCAGAGUUGAAGACGGGAGAGGGUAGGGGAAUGCCUAGUGUAGGAGUGAAAGCAGUAGAUAUUAGGAGGAACAGCGGUGGCGAAGGCGGCGACCUGGACCGAUAUUGACGCUGAGACGCGAAAGCGUGGGGAGCAAACA
rnacentral:rRNA from 1 species